CAUGUCUUGCUGCAGCUACUGGCAUAUCCUGUCCAACCCCAUCCCCCAAUAUGACUGCAUUACAAACAAGGCUAGAAAGGCAACAACAAAAUUUAAGGACCGCACUGAAGAUGAGCAGGGAAAAAAAAUACCCAUCACCAAACAAACAAAGAAAGGAUACACACUCUCAGAGCAGCAUGCAGACCACAAAGGGCAUUCCUGGAAGGACCUCCACAUAGAGAUAGCCCCGUUUCAGCACGUGCAAUUGCAGAACGUGUGGCUGAAACAACUCUGCUGCAGAGAAGAGCUGGGACUCCCUGCACCGUGUCUCCAGCACAAGUCCCCACUGUCACAUCAAGGUGGCCAGCAAAGUGCUGCAGGACCCUGAAAUCAGUCCAUCAGCAGUGAGUACCAUUAUCUUGAUUAGGCCACCAGUGACAGCCAGGAUCACCAUACCCUCCGCAGCAAACAGCCACAGCUCCUGGGAGUUUAUGCAGAACUGAUGAGCCCACAGCACGGACAGGUCAUAUAAUCUUUUCUUGCCAACUCUCUGCAAGUGGAAUCCCCAUGCAGCAUUCACAGUGUCACCCAGGGGCCAUCCUAAAAGCUCUCCAGAGUGAAGCAUACAAGGAGGGGCUGCAGCCAGAUUGAAGUUGGUCAUGUUCUUCCCAAGCACCUCCAAAAGUGACAGAGAAAUUACCAGUUACUGCUGGGCUGCCAAGUCCUAUCGAGUUCUGCUCCUGCCGCUUCCCAGCACUAAGGGUGCAACAUGGCCAUCUCUGUGAGUGGGAGAAAGCCCUGUUUCUGGCAUGGAAGCAAGAAACCAGGUCUAGGAAUUCAGGAUGCUCCAGCAACAGGAACUCUAACAGUGAAGGCAAGAGAAAGCAUAUGGCAGUUGCCAAGAGGCAGGAGCUCAGUGUUGUUUCUGUGGCUGGAUCUGUGCUAAUGAGGGAGGUUUCUAGGGAUCAAAUCACCAAGCCUCCUUCCCUUCCCCCAGCUUGCCACAUAAUGGAUAGAGGUGAAAAUCACAGGUUGAUUUAUUUGCAAUAUCACCUAUAUGGCAAGGGGGGAUUUGGACUUUGGGAGUAUAUGAGGGAAGGGGGGGUUCAUUGCCUUCUAACACAGAGCAUUCAUUAUACCAGCAUCAUCAGCCUCACAAGUCAAUCUGACACACACACACAGCUCCUCAGCUCUGUCCCAGAGAUACAGUGCCUAGCAAAAAAGCAGAGCAAGAAUGUAAGGAAAGGGAGACCUUCCUCUCUCAGACUGAAGCACACAGCCACAUGGUCAUCAAGUCAACAGUGCUUUGUUGAAUCAGAUUGAUCAAUAAAAGGCCAUCUCAAAAUAAGUCUGCAAAACCUCUGCCUAAGAGUACUAUCAGGGGUCUUCCCCUCAGUGCCCCAUCUGCCUUAGUGAUUCCUCUGCUGUUCCUGCCUUGUGCCUGGGUAUGGUAACCAGACGGACUCACUAGCAAACUAAUUUAUUUAGACUAACAACCUCAAGAAGUGUUUUGCAUAAACACUAAGGUGAAGGGAGCACACUGUUUUAAGCUUAACAGAAAUGCUCCAGGUAGUCUUUUUCCCCUCCUGAAUAAAUACGUGAUUCUACAGAAUGGUGUCCUUUCUAGGGAAACCUUAGCCAGUCUCCAUAAAUCAUCCCAGUCUUGACCUCCAGAAGGACAUGCCAAAUACUGGAACUGUAUGGUAUGCUGUAAUGAAAGGAAGCAUAUAUUUCAAGCCAAGAAACUGUGGCUUUGUGGUUUUGGCUUCCUUAGACACUGGCAUCUCCCUGUAAAGUCCCCCUGUACCUUUUUCCCCUUUUCAUGUGUGUCUUCUUUCUCCUGCCACAGAUGGUUCCGACAGGAUUGAGCUACACACAAAUAACCUUCUAUGGGUAUGUCACUAAGAAAAGACAGACUAGGGAUAGCGUGAGCCCUCUCCAGAAGGAAACAGGAAACCUGUCUACCCUGGAUUUGGAGAAGGCUGAGGUUCUUAAUGACUUCUUUGCUUCAGUCUUCACUGGCAAAUGCUCUGACCACACAGCUCAAGUCUUGGAGGGCAGAUGCAGGGACUGUAAGAAUGAAGACCCACUGUAGGAGAGGAUCUGGUCUGAGAUCAUCUUAGGAACCUGAAUGUGCACAAGUCCAUGGGACCUGAUGAAAUCCAUCUGCAGGUCCUGAAGGAGCUGACAAAUGAAGUUGCUAAGCUGCUGUCUAUAUGAUAUUUGAAAAAUCAUGGCAGUCAGGUGAAGUUCCCAACGACUGGAAGAAGGGUAACAUAACCCCCAUUCUCAAGAAGGGGAAAAUGGAUGACCCAGGGAAUUACAGACCAGUCAGUCUCACCUCUGUGCCUGGCAAAAUCUUGGAGCAGAUUCUCCUGGAUGGCAUGCUAAGGCACAUGAAAAACAACAAGGUGCUUGGUGACAGCCAGCAUGGCUUCACUAAGGGGAAAUCAUGAACAUGAGCCAACUUCAGUGUGCGCUUGCAGCCCAGAAGGCCAACCGUAUCCUGGGCUGCAUCAAAAGGAGUGUGACCAGCAGGUCCAAGGAGGUGAUCCUGCCCCUCUACUCUGCUCUCGUGAGACCUCAC